AGUGCAUUUUGCAUGAUAGGUCCCCUUUAAAUGACUGAAUUUAUUGGAAAAUUGGUCUUGAAUACUACUGUGUAAUAUAUUUGAACAUAUAUAUUUAACAAGUACAUUAUAAGACAAGCACACGUUUCAUUUGUGGGCCAUAUUCCAUUAUACUUUUUGAAUUUAAAGAUAACAAUGAGUAAAAUAAUUAAAGUUCAUGUCCUUGAGGAAAAAUGGGUGAGUUAUAAAACACCAAACUCAAUGACUUUGUGGUAAGAUGUGACAAUUAAUAUAUUUAUGAGUCAACAUGAAUACUGUGUAAUAUAUUUGAACAUAAUUUAUCUAAGAAGUACAAUACAAGACAAGCAGAAGUUUAUUAUACUUAAGUCAUUAUACUUUUUUAAUUUGCUGAGUGAGGGCCGAUUCAAAAUGGCCCCCAGGCCGUAGUUUGGACACCCCUGCCUUAGUUCUUCCGGUUUAGCACGAGCAGCUUUGUGUACAUUAAUUGCACAACAACAAUGAAUACAGACCCCUCCACCCUCUGUGAUUGGCUGCAGGAUGAAAUUUGACUUCUGAUGUUUUCCAGGUGUGUUUUCACCACCGUUGAUCCUGAAACGGGAGUGAUCUCCAGGAAGGAGCCUCUGGACACACUGAAAAGCUAUCGCCUGUGCAAACCCUCGGAUCAGCACAUCUACCAAAAGUCUCCUCUGUUCGGACAGCUGCUCAGGGUGAAGCAGGUGGGGAUCCUGCAGGUCGGAGACGUCGUGUACAAGAUCAGCCGCUGAUGAAAGGAGAGGGACUAACAUGAUAACUAUUAACACUUUCACGGUAUAAUCCCUGCUGAUCCACACUGAAGAAAGCACUUGUUGAUGAUGUUGUGUGCACGCUGUAUUUUCUAGAGAAGCACAAAUGAGCCACAGAAAUGUUCACUGGCUUUAAAUGGUGCUGUGAUUCACACAUAUGAGGAAAAGCUGUUGAAAGUACAGUAAAAAACAUGUGGUGUUGUUCCAUUUGACUGUAAUACUGUAUAUGUGAUAUCAGUAGUUUUGUAACACUACCGGUGCUUGAAUUAAAGAAUACUUGAAUUGUCA